AAAAGGAUGAUAAAUAUGGAUGAGAAGCUACAAACCAAAAGGAAUAGAGGAGCAAUGGGGAACAAGUGAAACACAAUCAAAUCACACACAAACCUCUAAUUCCAUCCUCUUCCUGACUCCUUAAUUCACAAUUUUUUAUUUUUUUCUCAUUUUUUUUAUCUUGUCUCUUUUCUUUUCUCUCUUUUCAGAACACAACUCUACGAGACAAGAUACAC
rnacentral:lncRNA from 1 species